ACUCAAAUGAAUUGACGGGGGCUCACACAAGCGGUGGAGCAUGUGGCUUAAUUCGAAGCAACGCGAAGAACCUUAUCCAAGGCUUGACAUGCACGGAUUAGUUCGUUGAAAGACGGAUGACACUCUUUGAGUGGAACGUGCACAGGUGCUGCAUGGCUGUCGUCAGCUCGUGCUGUGAAGUGUCGGGUUAAGUCCCUUAACGAGCGAAACCCCUAUCAUUAGUUGCCAACAGGUAAAGCUGGGGACUCUAAUGAGACUGCCGGUGUCAAACCGGAGGAAGGUGGGGAUGACGUCAAGUCCUCAUGGCCCUUAUGCCUUGGGCUGCACACGUGCUACAAUGGCGCGGCACAAAGCGAAGCGAGACCGCAAGGUGGAGCAAAUCGCACAAAACGCGCCCCAGUUCAGAUUGAGGUCUGCAACCCGACCUCAUGAAGUUGGAAUCGCUAGUAAUCGCGGAUCAGCUACGCCGCGGUGAAUAUGUUCCUGAGCCUUGUACACACCGCCCGU
rnacentral:rRNA from 1 species